UGCUUUCUCUUGGUCAAAAAGAAACCGAGUAAGAGGUUCUUAGUCCAUUAAAUAAAAAUGCAACUGUGUUUUAAAAAUAAACACGCCUAUCAAAAUUAGAAACGGAAACUGCAAAUAGCACUUCCCCAUUCUAAUGGUAGCUAGAAUUCUUUUAUGCUUACAAAAAGGUAAUGGGCGGUUCCCCAGACCACCCUCAGUUUCAGCUUUCAUGUGAAAUUUGAUGCCAACAAAGACGAAUAACUAUGAACCAACUCCUGCUGAACAGAACAGACGGUUCUCGUUCCCCAAUGGUUCUCAAACUUUUUAUCCUCCUCUGUUCCCUCUGCGUCGUCGUUUCUCUUGCUUUUAAACUCAACUCUUUCAUGGGCUGGAACCUCACCUCCCUUCCUCCUCCUCUUCCCCCCUUCAGGUAUUAAACAAUCCAAAAUUCUUUCGUAUUCAAAGUAAUUACAACUGCUUUUAUUAUAGGGGCGGUUAGACGGUGUUAAUUAAUACAUGGGAGCGAAACUCCCUCCUGCAAAACUCGGUGGCACAUUACUCCUCGUGCGGCGGCUCCGACGCCAUACGAGGGUUGUGGAGCGAGACCGAUCCGCCGUCGUAAUCCGAAUUUCAGGUUCGAGAUAAACGAGGACGAUGACUUGAACAACAUAGUUAAACCCAUUAAAGAGCUAAGGACGGAUGCGAUUUUCUCGGUAGAGGAUGAUGUCAUCGUUCCAUGCCAUGCCCUGGAUCUCGCUUUCUCUGUUUGGCAGAGCUCUUCUCUCAAUGUGGUUGGUUUUGUUCCUCAGUUGCAUUUUCUAAAUCAGCAGGUUCUCAUAUAGAAACUGUGAAGACAUUGCAAUGUCCUUGCUGCUUCUCCAAAUUUUGGGUUAAAGGGAAAGUAUAUGAGAUUGGAUCCUCAGGCAUUAAGCAGUCUGAAAGGGCAUACUGCUUUGAGAGAUAACUGCCUCAAUGAUUCUACAUCAGUGCCUCUUGUCUCAAACCAAUGUCAAAAGCCGUGGAUGCAAGGCACGAAUGGUUCUGGUAAUGACUUCUUCCAUUUAUUUGGGUUACCGCACUCUUCUGAUCAAUGCAAUCACACUUGGCAUAGCCUUUUAUGAUAGUCCUUUCGUUUUUGUGUUCUUUCAAGAUCACCCACUCUUAUUUUUAAUGCAGAUAGCUAACAUAAUGACUGUUACUGAUCUGAUUAUGUUAGUAAAUUGGUUAGUCAUAUUCGUUUAUGCAAAAUCUAAUCCCAUGUCAAUAUCGACUAAUUGGAUACCAGAUAUAAAGCUUACUAAAGGUACACAUUGAAAAUAAUGAAGUAAUUACUAAUGAGAAGUGAAUCAUUUCAAGAAUUGAAAGGUAGAUAGAAAAAUUGCAGAGGAGGAAAGUGGUGACAUAUUCACUAAUAGAUAGCGUGGUCCAUGGCUUGUAAAAGUAAUAGCGGUUGGGGCGCGGUCGGGUCGGUCACGACGUGGGAUAAACUUUAACUAUCCGCAAUUUAUUAUUUAUGGGUGUUGGUAAUAAAUAUCCAUCAUCUGCGAGACCAUGCGUGCUGUUGCGGAACUUCCAUUAAAUCAUUGUCUUUGAGGGAGGCAGCCCACACGUGAUGGCAUUCCAGAAAAUUGGUGCAAGCAUUUAUCCUUCACUUUACCAUUUAAUAAUAUAUAUAUAUAUUAUAAUAAUGCAUUUUAUUAAAAAUAAUUAAACAAAACAAAACAGGAGGGAUCCUUUGGUACGCUAGCUGGAUUGCUUGAUUAUGUUGAAAACUAUUUUAUAAUAAGUGUUAUAGGAAGAUUACGUAGACUGACAUUUUUCUUAUGCGGUAUUUUCAAAUUCAAUCAUUUGUCUUUGAAUUUAAGUAUUUAAUUAAAGUUAAUAAAUUAUUUUCGAAAAUAGAUAGGUAUAUUUUCUGUUUAAAAUUUAUAUUUUAAUUCUUUUUGUCUCAAUCGAUAUAAUAUAUUUAAUGAGGAGUAGUAGUUUUUGACAUGUAGGAUAGGCCCUGAAUUUUGAAGGAAAAAGAGGAGGAACUUUGACUGCCCAAAGGGCAAAGCAAUUAGUCAAGCUACCCUUCCAACGUGUACCUAAGCUAGUAGCUAUCCUUCGACGCAAUGGAAAGAAUUGCAAAAUUAUGUUAAAUAAUUGAUGAUAAGCACUAAUUAAAAGAAUUGACACCAAGUAUUUACAUUUUUUCCCCUUUAAGAAAGGUUAUUAGUUGCAUUUGUCACUUUUGUUGAUUCUCAUUUGCAAAGAAAAGAAAAAGAGAAAUAAAGAAACAUUUGAAUGGCAAAUAGGGAGAACAGUUGAACUUGGAGGUUUUGAUCCAAAAAAAAGAGGAAUAAAGAGGGGCAAAAAUAAAAAAGAGAAAGUGGGAUGUGGGUUGAAGGGAAUCCUUGCUUAGGAAAAUAAAAAUAAGUGUGGGGGGUUGAUUUAAAUUCAAAUAUUAAAGAGAUGGUCCAUGUAUGAUGCUUGACACAAUUGAAAAAUAAGGGAACCUUUUAUUGAAGAAAAUUUCAUAAUUUACUAUUCAAUUAGCAGGUUGACAAAUUGUAUAUAACUUAACUAAGUUGAUAAAGACGCCAAAGCUAAAUGGGAAUAUUCAUGUGGCCAAAGGAGAAAAAGACAAUUUGAGAGUAGAAAGCCACUUUGGAGUUAAAAUAAAAAUAAAACCCAAAAAACAGCAAAUCCAUCACAGUCUUCUUGCUUAAAAAAUAAAAUAUACUAUUAAUUCUUGUACCGUAUUAAUUCCGUGAGGAAAAAAAAUAUAAACUAAUGCAACAAUUGAAUUUGUAGUUUUCUCCUCUCUUUUUUUUCAAAAUAAAAAAAAAAAAAGUAGACUAACACUAUCUUUAACUAUGGAAAUAUAGAAAAAAAACGAAAAGGAAAAAGUCAAACUUAAUGGCAGAAGAAACAAAAAGUUGAUGUCCCUUGAAUUUGUAAAAGUAAAUCGUGGGCCAUGAGGGGCUGCUGAACAGGCUCAAGGUUUGAAAGUUGAGAAGAUGCGAACAAGAAAUUAAUACCUAACCGGGUUUUCUUGCACUUUAAUUGCUGGUAAUUGGUCCAGUCUUCAUUUUGCCUAUUGUUAUCAUAUUCCCUUUCACAUACCAAGUCAUCAAUUUUCAUUUUUUUGAAUCAGUCACAACUCACAACCAUUUUUUUCCAGAAAAUGGGAAAAAGUAGGAAAGUUCACCCUGUUCUCUCUCUCAGCUACUCAGACUUUAAUGGUCUUACUUUUUGUAAGGAAAGAAAUUUAAGCAUGGAGUUUAUGUAUGGUUAAAGGAGUUAGGACUUCUAGUUUCGUAUCAAAGUUAAAACGCUAGAGAAAAGCAGCAAGGAUUCCAAAGUUGUAACUUUGAAUACAAGUUUUUAUAAUAACAUGAAAUUUGAGUUGGCUUGGAUAACUUUGGAGGGAAGUAUCACGUAGUUCAAUGGAUUUGAUAUUCUCCUUUAUUUCAUUAAUUCUAAUUUGGAAUGAAAACACUCUCAGCUAAAAAAAUCACAAAUAUUGAUGAGCCUGGUUUGGCAGCUCAACACUAUAUGUUGGUUUUGGUCUGCUGAAUUAAAGUGGUGGAAGUGGGCACAAGUGAUAAUGCAAGACUAGAGAGUUUACAGCUCAGAAGAGAGGAGGGAGUCCCAUGGUUUUCCGUCCCUAGCUGUUGUCUUUUUUAGUUGUAAUAAACUCUUCUCCUCUUUGUCAAUUAAUACAGCAAAAGUACAAAUCAUGACAACCCCACCCCAAAAGGCCUCCCCGCCAAUCUCAACAACCAACGAACCCACCACGGAAAUCCAUUACUACUUACAAAAACACAAAACCAGUUGAGAGAAACAAAUUUGACUGCACAAACUCUUUCAACAAUCCUCGCCGUUUACGGCCCCAACCCAGAGAAAAGUCAUGUUCCAUCGCCACUUCUAUUCCCUUCAAUCCACGUAAAUCCAUCUUCACACUCUU